rnacentral:rRNA from 1 species
AGUGGCGGACGGGUGAGUAACGCGUGAGAAUCUGCCUUGGGGUCGGGGACAACCACUGGAAACGGUGGCUAAUACCGGAUAAGCCGAUUGGUGAAAGAUUUAUUGCCCGAAGAGGAGCUCGCGUCUGAUUAGCUAGUUGGUGAGGUAAGAGCUCACCAAGGCAGCGAUCAGUAGCUGGUCUGAGAGGACGAUCAGCCACACUGGGACUGAGACACGGCCCAGACUCCUACGGGAGGCAGCAGUGGGGAAUUUUCCGCAAUGGGCGAAAGCCUGACGGAGCAAGACCGCGUGAGGGAGGAAGGCUCUUGGGUUGUAAACCUCUUUUCUCAGGGAAGAAGCUCUGACGGUACCUGAGGAAUCAGCCUCGGCUAACUCCGUGCCAGCAGCCGCGGUAAUACGGAGGAGGCAAGCGGUAUCCGGAAUUAUUGGGCGUAAAGCGUCCGCAGGUGGCGAUUCAAGUCUGCUGUCAAAGCACGGGGCUUAACUCCGUAAAGGCAGUGGAAACUGAAUAGCUAGAGUGCCGUAGGGGUAGAGGGAAUUCCCGGUGUAGCGGUGAAAUGCGUAGAGAUCGGGAAGAACAUCGGUGGCGAAAGCGCUCUACUGGACGGCAACUGACACUCAGGGACGAAAGCUAGGGGAGCGAAUGGGAUUAGAUACCCC